GACGAACGCUGGCGGCGUGCUUAACACAUGCAAGUCGAGCGGAAAGGCCACUUCGGUGGUACUCGAGCGGCGAACGGGUGAGUAACACGUGAGUAAUCUGCCCUUGGCUUUGGGAUAGCCACCGGAAACGGUGAUUAAUACCGGAUACGACCACUUCUCGCAUGGGAUGGUGGUGGAAAGUUUUUUCGGCCAGGGAUGUGCUCGCGGCCUAUCAGCUUGAUGGUGAGGUAAUGGCUCACCAUGGCUUCGACGGGCAGCCGGCCUGAGAGGGUGACCGGUCACACUGGGACUGAGACACGGCCCAGACUCCUACGGGAGGCAGCAGUGGGGAAUAUUGGACAAUGGGCGGAAGCCUGAUCCAGCAACGCCGCGUGAGGGAUGACGGCCUUCGGGUUGUAAACCUCUUUCAGCAGGGACGAAGCGCAAGUGACGGUACCUGCAGAAGAAGCACCGGCCAACUACGUGCCAGCAGCCGCCGUAAUAC
rnacentral:rRNA from 1 species